GACGACCGCUGGCGGCGUGCUUAACACAUGCAAUUCGAACGAAGUGGGAAACGGGUGAGUAAUACGUGGGUAACUUGCCAUCCUUUUUGGGAUAAGACUUGGAAACGGGGUAUAAAACGGAAUAAAGGGGGGUGGGGUCGCUGCCUAUCAGAUUGUUGGUGGGGUGAUGGCCUACCAUGGCGGGGACUGGUAGCCGGCCUGAGAGAGUGCUGUGCCCCACUUGGACUGAGAUCCGGCCCCGACUCCUCUGGGUGGCAGUAGUGGGGGAUAUUGCACACUGGGCGAAAGCCUGAUGCAGCGACGCCGCUUGGGGGAUGAAGGCUUUCGGGUUGUAAACCUCUUUCGCUAUCGACCGGGUAGGUGGAGAAGAAACGCCGUCUAACUACGUGCCAGCCGCCGCGGUAAUUC
rnacentral:rRNA from 1 species